AAAAGGUUGGGGUAAAAGGUUCCGUUGGUUUAAUGCAAGGGAACACAUCACACCUUAAAUUCUGGGGGCUUAGUUGGUAACAUGGGGGAGUGGCAUGAGUAGGUAGCAGUGUGUAAGGGAGAAAAAAACCAAUCCUUUUUCUGUAUUUCAAUUUUGUUAAGCUUCAUUUCAGGCUUCCAGAAUUGAGAAUCAGUUGCCUGCUACAAGAAAUUGCUAAUAAGCAGUAGUAAUUAAAGACUGAGAAUUUAUUCUUUCCUUUCCAAACCUGAUGUCACUCCCAGAUGGAGAGAUGAGUACCGGUUAGGCAAUUCAGCAUUUUGGUAAAUUAAGGCAGCAGGAUUUGGUGUCUCCUCGAUCGUGUGGAGGCAGAAAGUAUUCUAGGAAGAAACACUUGUGUUUUAUUUCGUGUGCCCAUUGCAAUCAUUUACAAAUUUUUGCUUUGCUUUACAAAACCAGGAGAUGAGGUGGGCACUUGCAUCUUAAAAAUGAGGGCUGGGACUCUAAAGACACUAAUUCAUAAACUUUUCAUAUUGUUAUGUCUUUGGGAUUGUUGUCUCUACAUAAAUGACAAACAACUGAAAAAGACGGAUAAAUUCCAGCAAAUUCAAUACCCAUUGAUAGAAAAGAACUGGCAUGUCAGAAAGCAGUGUGAAUACACUGCGCUCCUCUCCUUUAUUUAGAAAAACCACACAAAAAUACAGCACUGUUGAUGUGUUUGUUACCAGGAAAGUAGAAUCAGCCACUGUGUAAAAGAUAAAAUAAGACUGCACGGAUAUCAGGAUUUUCCCAGCGUGCUGUGCUUUAUUCAUAGACAUCUGAUAGAAGAGGACCUAACAGAGCUUUUAGGAAAAACUGAAUUCUCAGCCCACAGUCACUUUCCAGGAACUUCACUGCAAACAGUGCUCUGUGCUGGCGGGAUGGAGAUCUUAGCAAUCUCCCUCCUGCUUCUAUAGUUUCCUUCUCUCUAAAUACAAUUCUUUAUGGGGACUUAAUGAGAGAGCAAGCCUUGUGUGAAAGGAACUCAAGAAAGUGAAGCUUCUAAAAAUAUACCCAGGCGGCUCUACGGUCCUUAUUGUUGCAAACUGACGUUUUGCAGUUCAUGCCAUGAACCUAACAACUCUACACACACACACACACACGAAGAAAAAAAGUAAAGACUAUGUUUUUUUCUUUCUGCAAUCCCCUAAACUUCGAGUAAACAGUAUUCAUUUUCUGUUGUCAUACUCAAUGCAAAUUUCCCAAAGAGGACACAAUACCUAACAAAAGACCUGUUACCGUCCUUAGAGCUGGGGGAAGAAUGGCAGGAGGACAGGGGCAAAGUUGAUCUUGGUCCAGCUUCUCCUGAGCCUGGGGUGCUGAACCUCCAAUCACUCUGAUCUUGCAGAGGUUUUUUGAGUUUCAGUUCCCUUUCGGGAAGGUUCCCGGGCCCCUUCUCCUCUGCGAGUCCCUUAUCAUUAAAUCCUCAUCUCUCGCCCUCUGCUUCCAGCUUUUUGGAGAAAUUGGACCUCAGCUUAGGCGUCUUUUUUCCAGUGGACUGAAAAAAGUACAGCUGCUGAUGGGAAGAUAAAUAUUAAACACAUGGGCAGGGGGGCGACGUGAGGGUCUGCCAGAGGGCCCCGUCUUCCUCAUUCCACUACGCUGGGAGGCAGCGCUCCCGGAUGGGGUGCUGAGAGGGGUGAGGGUGGGGUGAAGGGAGACGGACAGAGCAGGCAGUAAGGGAAGAAGGCCCUCUAGGAAAGAUCAUCUCGACUGAACAUGACAAGAGAAAAAAACUGGCCCACAUGCCCCUAGUGGGGAGCGAUGCACCCCACGCAGGCUGGGGGGGGGCUGCCUCGGGGCUUCUCACCUGACUUCCUCCUCCGCUGGCACAUAGACUACAAUCACCCCUUCACCGCCCCCCCCAAAAGAAAAGCUCAGCCAAACAACCAACAACAAGAGGAAGCCGCAGGCAGCAAGAGGAGGGGUGCGCGCGGUGGGGGCCCCGGCGAGACAACUUGAAGUCAAGUUGCAAUUAACUUCCGCGGCAGCCGCAGCUCCGGCGGCGGCGGCGGCACAAGAGCAGAAGCCGCCGCCUCGGAAGUCCGACGCCGGCGCGCCCGCCCGGGGAGCCGUGCCUGGUCUCCGGCCCGCGCUCGACAGCCACUGCCGCCCCCAACGCCCAUGCCUGAGGUGUGGACACACUAACACACCUGCCCGACAGAUCCUGGCUGAACAAACUCCUUCAGGUCAUCGGUGUGACUCCUUUUGGAAGAGAAAAGGGGAGUCGAAAAGGCCGAAGGAUCAAAUGGGGAAAGGGAGAGCCUCUCUAUGCGCCCCAGAGCCGGGCUGGCAGAAAGGUGCCCGGCUGAGUAGGCUGGGGGAGUGGAAACGUUCCCCCGCCGGAUCGCGAGUAAGCUCAGCAUCCUUCCUCGGUCCACGUUCGCCUUCCUCCGCCCCCCGCUGGCGCGGCGGCUUGGGAGCGGCGGCGGAGAGGGGCCUGGGAAGUUUGCGGCAACUUCUCCAUCCCGGGAGCCACUCGGGCGCCGGGGCGCUCAAGUUGGAGUCGGGAGUUUGAAAGCCGCGGCGCUCUGCGUUUCGAGCCCUCGCCGGCGGUAGUGAGGUCCAGAAGGGGCUCCUGGCGUGAAUGUAGAUUAGGAGUUUGGCUGGAGGCAGGAAGAGGUGCUGCCCUCUUUGCGGGGACCGAGACAUCACAGGUGCGGCCUCGGGGUCCGCACCGUGUCUCCCUCCUGCGGUCCCGACCCGAGCGUGGCGGCCUUCUCCGAGCGCUCCACUGCCGAGGCUCCCGGGGCGGCAGAGCGUGGGUUUGGGCAACCACGAGGAGAGGGUCGAAGCAGGCAGGUCCGGGGAGUGACACGUGCGUUCCGGGGAAGUGCACUGAGCAGGACUCCUGGGAUGACCCCAGGAGGCAGAGAGGGGCUUAGGGCUCUAGCUGGAGGUUUUGGCCCGGACCUCCACCAGGGCGUUGCAAAUUUUAUUUACGAGUGUCAACCACAGGAUCCCCUCUCUAAGUCUCCUAGCUGGCAAUUUUGACCCCUGCGCCCUUCCUCGGCGAACUUUCUCAGCGGCAUUCCGGAUUUCCAGGCAAAUGUUGUAAGACUUGGACUCCACAUGGUUGUAAAAGAGACAGGGAAAGCAGAAAGACGUCUUACUCUCAGGAGAGAACCUUUCUGCCUUGACUGGCUGGGGUUCCAUGCUUGCAUCUCUGGAGGCCAGGGGACCUGACUUUCCCAAGAGGACAAGGAGGGGUAAGAAUGAGUAAAAUGCGACCGCACAGUGUGAGGUUUGUCCUCAGUAGUCCCGAAAAUCUACAGUGUUCGUGCUGCUGAAGUAACUCAUCCCGUUGAAACUUUAUUAAUAGACAUUUACACCUUACGUAAAGUGGAUUUUUCUGAGAUGUCAGGAAUGUAAGAUUUAUUCUGUAGUCAAACGUAGCUGCGAAAACCCCCCUUACUUGAAGACGGGAGAAAGCCAAGGUUGAGGUGUUUGCUGUAAAAACCUUUAAUCUGCUGUGUGGUACCAGUGCUGAGAUGUAGCAGCGGUCCUUUAUUUCUAUGCAUAUUAUUUUAGUAGAACAGUAGUACAUUCAUAUACUGGCUGCUCCAGUCUGCUGGCAAACAUUAGCAUUCAAGCUUACAUUUUUGACAAAUGUGCAGACAGGAAUAGCAUGAAUAGGCAUCUUAAAUAUUAACAACCUAAGCAUCUGUUGUGAAACAAAUUUAAUAUAUUUACUCUGUUUUUCUCACAUUGUUAGAAAAGGUUAUAAUAAGUGCAUAAUUUCAACUUUAGUUAGCAGAAGUAACUGGCUGUAUCUUUCACUACCUCUCCAAGUGUUUAACACGAUCACCAGACAUAAAUACUUUAACUAACUUGGUUAGGCACAUUAUUAAACACACUUUAGACAACGUGCAUCCUAUGUAAAAUGGAACAGUAGCAAAAUAUGUAUCCUAUUUGUGCACAUUUUAAAUGACUAUGCAUUUUAUAAAUAUACCGAGCAUGUUUAUUCUUCAUCUCCAUUUGACACUUAUAACUUCAUAUUUUUUCUAAUGGAAACAAUAUUUUAAGUGUAGAGUUGUUCAGUCAUAUGUAAUAUGUAAUAUGUAAACAGUAGCUACAAAAUACAAAGCAUUGUUAAAUUUGAGUAUGGCUGCAUGUAACAAGAUUAUACAAGAGAAAUAAAAAUCACUGCUCAAUUUUGUAUUCCUUUCUGAAUAAAGAAUACAAAUGAUGGAUGACAAAAGAAGAAAUAGGG
ensembl:lncRNA